CGUAGAAGCCCAUGGUGUCGGCGCGCUUCCCCUUGCGCGGCGGCGGCGGCGCCCCGCGGGCCCGGCGGCCGGGCAGGCGCUGGCAGUACAGCCCCUUCUCCGGCAGAAGUAUGUAUUUCUUCAGCUCAUCAGCACUCCAGAAGGAAAGAAUAUGAUACCACAGAAGGGAUAUUUGCUAUGUCACUAACCCAGCCAACUAAGCAAUGUUGCAUCUACAACACAAGCCUGGGAAUGAAGUGGCACUGCAUGGCUUCCUCCAUCCUGUGAUAACUAUGAUAUUGCUCAACAGCCUCUGAAAUUUGAAGCAUCACCAGAGAAGCAGAAAAUGCCAUUUCCUUCAAGCAACCACUGUAAAGAAACUAAAUCACUGCACUAAGACCACAGAAGUGCAGCUCAGGUCGCAUUUGUAGAAGACAUCUCUCUCCAAUUAUUUAGAGCAAUCUAUCAAAUGCUCCUGACCACUUUCAAUUUUACUUUCAGGUGAGAGUCAGAUUUAGAGAUUUUUGUAUUUUUAUGAAAAUAAACAUGGCAGUAAAUUGAAGCACAAAUAUUCUAAUUCUUAAGUGAAGAAAGAAAACACACUUUUACACUUUAAAUGUAGUGGUGAUCUCUCAUCUGCUUUUGUCUUGAGGCUAGAUGCAUUCUGGACUGGGAUAAGUCUGAACACCACACUUGUCCAGUUCUUGAAACAGUGUGUUGUUACCUCAGAGACCUCCAACUUCUAAUUUGCUGCAAUCAGACACAUGGCCAGCAUUCAACACAAGUAUUUUUUCCAUUUCAGUUUAACAGAAAAAAUCCACUCCUGUUUUCCAAGUCAAACAAGGAAAGGGUUUCUUAGCACCAGCUGUUUCCAAGUCUAGAGACUAUGACAGCAGCCAUAUAAGAUGGAAGAAACAGGGAAAAGAUAGACAUAGGGCAAGAUAACCUCAGUUUCCAGAUUUGUUUAUGAAGCUACUGCUUACAACUAUAUCUUGGUUCUUGUCUCCCCUUUUGUAUGUACAGAACAGAAAAUGCACACAGAAGGUAAGCCGGGAGAAUUUUUUAUUUCAUUAUUUUCAAGAUGUGAGGGGCAAAGGACUGAAGAAGGAAAAUCAAGCUUCCUUAUUUAUAAUGCAUUAUAAGACAACAUGCAAGGUUUUUCCCAUUUAAUAUUUAAUAUUAAACAUGAGCUCUUGUUUAUACAAAGAAAACCCCCUAAUUACUUUUAAGUCAGAAUAUAGGAUAAUACAGAUGGAAAGAAAAAAAUAAUAAUAAUAAAAAAACCACUUAAGAUUUUUUUCUGCUGGAUAAUAGUAGCAAAUUUACCAAUUUGGCUAUUUGUGAAAACCAUUAAUGAAGGCACACCUAAAAGGCCAGAUAAAACCUUUGUGUUUGAUAUGGUUUUUGGCAUGUCUGUGACAGAUACAGUUAAUCUAGGACAGUCUUACAAAGCAGCACUGGUGCUACUUAUUGGCAAGUAGUUAAAAGGAAAUCUUGAAAGUCUCCCUGAGAGAAGAUCAUCUGUGUAUGCAUUCUGAGGACUAUUAUUAAGUAGUAUUAGAUAACAAGAUGCUAUGACUCCCCAGUUGUGAAUGGAAGAAGAAAGGAAACAACUGCCUACCAGCUAUAAUAUUGUGUGCUACAGAAUGAAAAUUAUAUAUUGUAUUUUGUAUUUUAAAAAUAGACCUUGAAGUUCACAAGCACUGUGAAAGGAAUUCACAAGUUCAGAAAGGUUUUUAGCAUAUUUCUUAGUAGCAACUGACAUUCUUUAAGAAAUAUGCUAAAGAUGGCUGCAUAUAUUAGGUUUUUAAUAGGGCAACAUCUUUGUGAUCCAUGUCAUUACAUGCUUUAGAAUGCCAUAUCCAAUAUCUGGCACACUGAACCUUCAAAGACAACACAUGUUUUCUGUUCUCUCUACUGGAAUGCUCUCCUAGUAAGCUUAAAAAGAAAAGAAAGAAAAAAAAAAGGCAGUUCUUUAAGUUCUCAACAGUUUAAUCUCAGGACUCCAAAUUCAUUCCCCAUACAUUCAUAUACCAUCAAAACAUGAAGUAUUUCUCAAAACCCUGUAUACAAUUUAGAACUCCUAGUAAAGAGAGAUCAAAAGAUGGACAAAAAUAAAGAAGUUCCUCACAGCAAGGAACUGUUCGCAUGAAAACACACAAGAUGGUUCUGAAAAAUACACAAAAAAGAAGAAAAACUCGAAGAUACAGGCAAUCUGAAAUUAAAAUUGAAGUGGUAAAUAGUUUAAACUACAUUCAAAACUGAUAAAUAAUGUACUUCUUUAUUGUUCAGUAAAUGUCAUAUGUUUCACCCCACUGAGGUUUAAUUUGUGUCAAUAUAAGUACCCUUGUAAAAAGGAUUCUAUUUACCUUCUUCCAAAUACAUUAAUAUACAAAUAAUGUACAUUAUGCACACAGUUAUUACACUAGGUUAAAAAAAGACAUUUUUGUGUUUAUAUGACAAAGAUUAGCUACUUCAAAGAGACGACAGUUCAAUUUAAAGGAUUUUGCUCACUAACAUUGUUCAUGCUUAAGUAGUGCAAAUUUGAAUUACAAAUCUUAAAAUCACCAAGAAAAUACAAGGCCUUAGGGCCAAUUACUAAAUAACAUGUUUCAAUUUUUCUAUCAACAUACAUACACAGACAGAAUAUGCUGAGAGCAAAGAAAUACAGAUGUCUCUUGAAAGAUUAGUUUUAUUAGACUUGCAGCACCUAUUAUGACUGGGUAACUGUGUAUAACCUCGGGGGCAGGGGGGCAUAAAUUGUCUGCUGAAGCCCAAAGAAUAAGCUGAAAAUUUUCAGUGAUUAUGAACUCAUAUGGUCUGCAUGUUCACUGCAAGGGGCUGCCAAUGCUACUUGUUCCUAUAAAUUAGGUCCCACAAGUCAAUAAGACACUCUAGAGGUGCAAAUUACAGGUUUUAAUAUUUUUGCAUUUCAGUGACUAGUGAGAAUUUUGACUGCAGGUUUCCCUCUGUAUCAGGAAGGGAAAAAGAGAAAAACUGGGGCAGGGGCCAUGAAGGUUUGCACAGCCACCUCUCCUCAUUGCCAUGUUUUCAGGAAUUAAUGAAUUCCCUGAGGAUGUCUUGAAUGUCUAGAAGCAUUUACUUUUUCCACACACCAGAAAGAACAGGUCACUUCUGAUAUGAGCUCUUCCUAAAUCAAGAAAGGUAAGGCUGGACCUGCUAAACAUGGCCAUAAACGGACAAAAAUGAACUAUUUAUGGACAUUUAAAACAUUCACUUGUGCGCUGAAAUUAAAAUGGGCCAGUACUUCAGAACAGGAAACUAUUUCCUCUUCACCCACUCAGAAGUUUGGAUGCCUUCCCAGAAAUCUCAAGACUGGCGCAGGGCUUAGUGCUGCGCCUGCAAGACAGCUGCAUCUGGAUACAACCCUUCACGGGAAUGCACAAGACAAACCAAGGAAGACAGGUUGAGCAGAUGUAGUUAACGGAGGUGGUGCCAGAAAGUGAUCCAUGUUAACCAGAUGCUCCAAAGAAACUCCUCUCAGUAAGGCGGCACAAGACACGGGCCUUUUGGAAAGCGACUUGAGCUGUGCCAACAGAUAUCAUGGACACCCACGACCACUCACACAGCUCAGAGCCAAGCAGCUCAAGUUACCUCCUCUUCUUCCUCUUCUGGAAGGGAAUGGCUACAAUUCACUUAAGUUUUCUCCCAUGAUGACCAGCUCUUUAUGCAGUAAGAAAAGGGAAGUGGACAAGAAGCUACAGGAAACUGACAUACAGCAAAUUAAUCUAACAACUGAAUGGAAUAAUCCCAACAAAAUUAUUACAAGCAUUCACCUCAUACAGGAGGUGCAUAGUGUGUAUUUAAAAAAAAUCAAGAAAUAAAUCCCCAAAAUGAAUCUACUUUUGCAAUUUUAAUCCAUGUAAUAUUCAUACUAAUUAGGCACCGACCAAAUUAGCUGCUGCUAUUGCAACCCAUUUUCUUUCUAAAGUGAAGAAGCACUGCUAUGUAUGUGCCCUUAAUAAAUCUGGAUAUUAAUUGCAAUUAGUGUCAAAUUUUCACAGUGCAAAGUGACCUCAACACAUAAUGACAUUUCAAACAUGAUGAGAAAACUAACCAUUUCUGUGAGAAGCAAUUUUAUACCAUUAGAUGAAUCUCAGUCAGAAAAAGCACAGAUGCCACAGGUCCUGCCAUAGGUGUUAAAGGGAUGAUGCAGUCUCAUUUCUGUAAUUUGUAUUAUUAGUUUUUUUGUCUGUUACCUAUUUCUUGCAUCACUGUGAACAGAAAUUGCAAAUAAGUGGCAAGCAUGCAUGUCUAAUAAAUUAAAUGUACAGAAGCUUAUUAUUGUUAAAAACAACAACAUUCCUCCUGAAGGAGAAAGGUGCACAAGCAUCUAUUCUGAAUGCUGCUCAAGAGAAGAGAAUUAAUACCAACUAUGAGAGUUUAUCAUCUGCCUGGAGAUAAUAAAGCAAGGGUAGGCAGUGGAAAUGGAUUGACAUGUAGUAUUUUAAUAUGAAUUUGUUAUACUUAAAGCUAAACACAUGUAUUUUGAAAAUCAAGUGAUAGAUAUUUUGGAAGUUGUAAUUUAUUUUUUUUUUUGGCAUGAUGGCUUUCUGGCUCUCUUAGGAAAUACAAUGAGUUACAGAUAAUUCUUUGUUUUCUUAAAGGUGGUACAUGCGCAGAAAGGACUUCUCAGAGCUGUUUGCAGGAUAAGCAGAGAGGCAAAGGACAGGAAGACUGUGGGUGUAAAGAGACAGGAAAGAAGAGAGAGAUGAUCUAUAAAAACUAUGUGGACAGAAUAGGCACUAGACAGUAAAAGACCUGUUUCACAGUUGGUAUGUAGACAGGAUUUGGAGGAGGGAAAGCAAAAGAAUGGAAGACUGUAGGGCCAUGAAGAAAUCCAUGCUAAGAAUUCAGUCUGAAAUUUCACUAACAAUGUACCAUAGGAGAAAUGCAAGAUGGAAUGCAGCAAUGCUGUAAAUAUGUUAAAAUUGCAAACAUUCUUGCCAGCUGCUGCUGUUAUCAUGAGAAGUAAUCUUGUGUUAGGGUUUAUUAAUAGCAGCAUGCUUUGGAAGAGACUGCCUUUUGCACUUACAGA